UACGUAGGGGGCGAGCGUUGUCCGGAAUUAUGGGGCGUAAAGCGCGCGCAGGCGGAUUUUUAAGGUCGUGGUGAAAGACCGGGGCUCAACCCCGGAGCGUCCGCGAAGACUGGAAGACUGGAGUGUCGGAGAGGAGUGCGGAAUACCUGGUGUAGCGGUGGAAUGCGUAGAGAUCAGGUGGAACACCGAUGGCGAAGGCAGCACUCUGGCCGAAUACUGACGCUGAGGCGCGAAAGCGUGGGGAGCGAACGGG
rnacentral:rRNA from 1 species